UACGUAGGGUGCGAGCGUUGUUCGGAAUUACUGGGCGUAAAGCGUGCGCAGGCGGUUCGUCGUGUCCGAUGUGAAAGCCCCGGGCUCAACCUGGGAAUGGCAUUGGGAACUGGCGGACUCGAGUGUGGCAGAGGGGGGUGGAAUUCCGCGUGUAGCAGUGAAAUGCGUAGAGAUGCGGAGGAACACCGAUGGCGAAGGCAGCCCCCUGGGCUAACACUGACGCUCAGGCACGAAAGCGUGGGGAGCAAACAGG
rnacentral:rRNA from 1 species